rnacentral:rRNA from 1 species
UGGAGCAUGUGGUUUAAUUCGAUGAUACGCGAAGAACCUUACCGGGGUUUGACAUGCAGGUGAUCGCCGUUGAAAGACGGUUUCCUCUUCGGAGGCACCUGCACGGGUGCUGCAUGGCUGUCGUCAGCUCGUGUCGUGAGAUGUUGGGUUAAGUCCCGCAACGAGCGCAACCCUUAUCGUUAGCUGCCAGCGGGUAAUGCCGGGGACUCUAGCGAAACUGCCGGUGUAAACCGAGAGGAAGGUGGGAUGACGUCAAAUCAGCACGGCCCUUAUGUCCAGGGCUACACACGUGUUACAAUGGCCGGUACAGAGGGCAGCUACCUGGAGACAGGAUGCGAAUCUCGAAAGCCGGUCUCAGUUCGGAUCGGAGUCUGCAACUCGACUCCGUGAAGCUGGAUUCGCUAGUAAUCGCGCAUCAGCCAUGGCGCGGUCGAAUACGUUCCCGGGCCUU